rnacentral:rRNA from 1 species
UCAAUCAGUCAUACCACCCUGAAUGUGUUGGAUCUCAUGUGAUCUCAGAAGCUAAGCAGAGUAGGGCCUGGUUAGUACUUGAAUGGGAGGCCAGCCUUCUUUUUACU